rnacentral:rRNA from 1 species
AAUAGAUACCCAGGUAGUCCACGCCGUAAACUAUGGAAGCUAGCCGUCAGUCAGCUUGCUGAGUGGUGGCGCAGCUAACGCAUUAAGCUUCCCGCCUGGGGAGUACGGUCGCAAGAUUAAAACUCAAAGGAAUUGACGGGAGCCCGCACAAGCGGUGGAGCAUGUGAUUUAAUUCGAAGCAACGCGCAGAACCUUACCUACCCUUGACAUGUCCAGUAUGGUCACCAGAGAUGGAGUCCUUCAGUUCGGCUGGCUGGAACACAGGUGCUGCAUGGCUGUCGUCAGCUCGUGUCGUGAGAUGUUGGGUUAAGUCCCGCAACGAGCGCAACCCUCGCUUCUAGUUGCCAGCAUUCAGUUGGGCACUCUAGAGGGACUGCCGGUGAUAAGCCGGAGGAAGGUGGGGAUGACGUCAAGUCCUCAUGGCCCUUACGGGUAGGGCUACACACGUGCUACAAUGGAGGUGACAGUGGGCAGCGACACAGCGAUGUGAUGCUAAUAACCCG